rnacentral:rRNA from 1 species
CCCUUAGAUGUCCGGGGCCGCACGCGCGCUACACUGAAGGAAUCAGCGUGGCUUUCUCCCUGACCCGAAAGGGUUGGGAAACCCGUUGAAUCUCCUUCGUGAUAGGGAUUGGGGCUUGAAAUUGUUCCCCAUGAACGAGGAAUUCCCAGUAAGCGCGAGUCAUAAGCUCGCGUUGAUUACGUCCCUGCCCUUUGUAUACACCGCCCGUCGCUACUACCGAUUGAACGGUUUAGUGAGGGCCUCGGAUUGGUCUCGGCCCGCUCUUUACCGGGCGGCGCCGUUGGUCGAGAAGACGCUCGAACUUGAUCGUUUAGAGGAAGUAAAAGUCGUAACA